AACGAACGCUGGCGGCGUGCCUAACACAUGCAAGUCGAACGGAUGUAGCAAUACAUUAGUGGCGCACGGGUGAGUAACGCGUGGGAAUCUGCCUUAUAGACUGGGAUAACACUGGGAAACUAGUGCUAGUACCGGGUACGCCCUUAGGGGGAAAGUUUUUCGCUAUAAGAUGAGCCCGCGUUGGAUUAGCCAGUUGGUGAGGUAAAGGCUCACCAAGGCGACGAUCCAUAGCUGGUCUGAGAGGAUGAUCAGCCACACUGGGACUGAGACACGGCCCAGACUCCUACGGGAGGCAGCAGUGGGGAAUAUUGGACAAUGGGGGCAACCCUGAUCCAGCAACGCCGCGUGGAUGAUGAAGGUCUUCGGAUUGUAAAGUCCUUUUGGCGGGGACGAUGAUGACGGUACCCGCAGAAUAAGCUCCGGCUAACUUCGUGCCAGCAGCCGCAGUAA
rnacentral:rRNA from 1 species